rnacentral:rRNA from 1 species
AUUGAACGCUGGCGGCAAGCCUAACACAUGCAAGUCGAACGAGUGGCGGAUGGGUGAGUAAUGUCUGGGAAACUGCCUGAUGGAGGGGGAUAACUACUGGAAACGGUAGCUAAUACCGCAUACCAUCGGAUGUGCCCCGAUGGGAUUAGCUAGUAGGUGGGGGAAAGGCUCACCUAGGCCACGAUCCCUCGCUGGUCUGAGAGGAUGACCGCCAAACCGGGAACGGAUACACGGUCCAGACUCCUACGGGAGGCAGCAGGGGGGAAUAUUGCACAAGGGGCGCAAGCCUGAUGCAGCCAUGCCGAGGGUACGCAGAAGGCCUUCGGGUUGUAAAGUACUUUCAGCGGGGAGGCGUUACCCGCAGAAGAAGAACCGGCUAACUCCGUGCCAGCAGCCGCGGUAAUAC